AUUGAACGCUGGCGGCAGGCCUUACACAUGCAAGUCGAGCGGAUGAAGGGAGCUUUCUCCUGGAUUCAGCGGCUGACGGACGAGUAAUGCCUGUGAAUCUGCCUGGUAGUGGGGGAUAACGUCCUGAACGAGGGGGUAAUACAUCCUACGUCAUGUGGGAGGAUGAGAGGGGUCGUCGGACCUCCCGCUAGCUGCUGAAGCUAUGUCGGAUUAGCUAGUUGGUGGGGUAAAGGCCUACCAAGGCUGCGAUCCGUAACUGGUCUGAGAGGAUGAUCAGUCACACUGGAACUGAGACACGGUCCAGACUCCUACGGGAGGCAGCAGUGGGGAAUAUUGGACAAUGGGCGAAAGCCUGAUCCAGCCAUGCCGCGUGUAGGAAGAAGGUCUUCGGAUUGUAAAGCGCUUUAAGUCGGGAGGAAGGGCAGUAAGUUAAUAUCUUGCUGUUUUGACGUUACCAACAGAAUAAGCACCGGCUAACUUCGUG
rnacentral:rRNA from 1 species